AAAAAAGCAAACCCUAAGUUUACGUAUCCAACUUUAACUAUCCGUCUUAUAUGGAAUUUUUUUAUAAUUCGUAUUUUUAUUGUUGUUAGAUGAUAAAACAUGAUUAAUAUUUUAUGCGUGAAUUGUUUUUUAAAUUUUUUUCAUAAUUUUUUCAAAUAAAACGGACGGUUAAACGUUGGACACGAAAACCAGGUUCGUCUUUUU
rfam:Oryza glumipatula chromosome 8, whole genome shotgun sequence.